rnacentral:rRNA from 1 species
UACGUAGGGGGCAAGCGUUGUCCGGAUUUAUUGGGCGUAAAGAGCGUGUAGGCGGCCAGGUAGGUCCGUUGUGAAAACUGGAGGCUUAACCUCCAGCUGUCGAUGGAAACCAUCUGGCUAGAGUCCGGAAGAGGAGAGUGGAAUUCCUGGUGUAGCGGUGAAAUGCGUAGAUAUGCGGAGGAACACCGAUGGCGAAGGCAGUCCCCUGGGCCUGCACUGACGCUCAUGCACGAAAGCGUGGGGAGCAAACAGG